rnacentral:tRNA from 1 species
GCGUCGUACAACGCGGAGGUGGCACGCCGGCUCCUGGCGGGCGAGAAGGGCCCCGUACGGGACGCGGUGCUGCUCAACACGGCGGCGGCGCU